GGUCACUGCCUUCACUGUCACCUUGGUUUUUGAUGGGAUCCACAGGUACUCGUGCUUACAACUGAGCCAGUUCCUCAGCCCCACCCCACCCCUGCCUCUGUGACCCACUCAGGACAUUGUCUCCCUGCUCUUGGGUCCCCCUGCUCAUCAAGAGGAUGUGAAUUUGCCCCUCCCUACGAAUAAGCUGGAAGUUGCUCUUGCCCGAUGCCCUUGAUGGGCUGAAACUGAUUCUGGGAACAGAGUCCAUUCCUGUGGCCCAGUUUCCUACACGGAAUUCCAACCUCUUCCCCUGAGCUCCGGAGAGUCAGGCUUGCUGAUCCCUCUGCGGAACCUCGGCAGAAACUUCAAACAGCAUUUGAUGGUCUCCUCGUCAUUUGAAGAUCUGAGACUCUGCCGAGCUGCUAGGCCUGGGUGUUUGUGAAUCCUCCUCAUUCUACGGAUGUGGAAGGUGGGAGAGGUGGGGAGGGGGGGGGGUUGCAAAUGUCCCCUGAACAAGGUAGCCACCAUAUGGACAGGUGGCAGAGCACACGGAUUUGUCACCAAGAGGAGAUGGGAACCGCUAUUAGUAGAGAUUCAAGGACAGGGAUGUUUCCAAACUCCCCACAAAGCUAGCAUAGACUCCUGUUCCAAGUGUCAAGAGAUCAUAGGUAGGGAGUAGCUUGCCUACACAUCCCAGUGUCUUUGAGACUUUCCAGGUUCUCCAUCAUCUCCCUGUGACAGCUGAGACUAAAAGCUGAGAUAAGUGAGCAGCCUGCCCCUUGUCACCAGCUGAUAACAAAAGAGCAAGGUUCGAGACCCCUGAAGCCCAAGUCCAUUCCAGAAAAGGCUGUGCUCAACCGUUGUCAGUCACAGACUGUGUAUCUGUGUACAAAUAUUUACUCUGAUUUCCUAAAAAGAAAACUAGCCAGGAAAUGCUUUUAGAUCCCCCCUGGACAAUUACAGUUCUUUCCCAAUUCUUUAAAUACUUGGUUAAAUAUUGAUCCAACUGCCUUGCUGGGAUUAGAGUCGGCGAGCGAAACUUGUGUGGGAGAGGUGAUAGAUAGGCUACUCCAGGGGACUGUGUCCAUCAUUUUGGUAAAGUAUAGAUGUAUCUUUCCUGUAAAGAAGCAGUGCCAGGCCUAAGAGGCAUUGGAUCUGCUGCCCACAUCAAGCAGGGUGUAUGAGCUUCUGUUGCUGCUAUAACAAAACCAGCACCAACCUAGACAAUGUCUGUGGGAGAGGUCUUACUUUGCUCCUCAGAGCAGCAGCCCCCUCAGAGCAGCUCUGGUCUCCUUGGUGCUCUUAGUUGUGCAGCCACAGACAAUUUGAAUAGACUUCCUGCCUUCCAGCUCAGCUCUAGCUGGCUUGUAGAGAGAUCCACAAUGGU
rnacentral:lncRNA from 1 species